GGUCAAUGGUAUUGUCAUACCACGAUCCCAGUACAACUGGUUAUCAUGGAAAAAUGCUAAACGGAGAGAUAAAAAAAAUGUUAAAGCCAUGUGCAAUGUUGCGAAUCAAACCAUUUCUCGUCUAAAGGUGCACAAAUGUUAGGAUUUUUAGUUGUAAUUCAUUAACUUGCUGCUUAUAACAAGAUUAAUGAUGAUCAUGAUAAAUGACAUAAACAUUGAAAUUCAAUUAAAAUUUACCGUCAACUACAGACGUUGCAUCCAUUGAUUCCGCCAUGUUAAUCACUGACACGCCCCCAAUUCGUACAGAUCGGGGCUUAAAGAAAAUCCCGAGCUCCCCACUGGUAUUUACGAUAUUGUGGUGGCGUUCAUGUGCAUUCAACUCGUAAAUACGAUCGAUACGAGAUGACUUGAACGCACCAAAUGUUCUUUGAUGAAGACUGAUUGUACUGAGUUCGAUCACUGUGUCCGUCCUUGUUUGUCACGGUUCCUGGAUCGACACUGGGCUGUGUUCUAUUCAGAGAAGACCAUCACUAGUGUUCUUAUUUGUCACGGUUCCUGGAUCGACACUGGGCUGAGUUCUAUUCAGAGGAGAUCAUCACUAGUGUCCUUGUUUGUCAUGGUUCCUGGAUCGACACUGGGCCGUGUUCUAUUCAGAGGAGAUCAUCACUAG
ensembl:lncRNA